UACGGAGGGGGCUAGCGUUGUUCGGAAUUACUGGGCGUAAAGCGCGCGUAGGCGGCUUUGUAAGUUAGAGGUGAAAGCCCGGAGCUCAACUCCGGAAUUGCCUUUAAGACUGCAUCGCUAGAAUCAUGGAGAGGUUAGUGGAAUUCCGAGUGUAGAGGUGAAAUUCGUAGAUAUUCGGAAGAACACCAGUGGCGAAGGCGACUAACUGGACAUGUAUUGACGCUGAGGUGCGAAAGCG
rnacentral:rRNA from 1 species